rnacentral:lncRNA from 1 species
AAUAAAUAAGAAAAUAUAUAUGAAAUAAUGAAAUAAAGACUGUUACGUGAUUACUGGAUCGAUCGUUUAGUUCGAUGUCCACUGUCCUCGCGAUAGAACAAUGAACAAUGGAGAAAGACAGGGAUACUCAUCUUUCUCUGGGGGGAAGAAAAGAGGACAUAUUUAUACGUGUCGGUCGCCAUUUUGCGCGCGCGGUGUCUUCGGCGGCAUCUGGCGCGGUAUCUUAGGCGGCAUCGGUAGCGGUAUUUUCAACAGUAUCUGUAACAAUAUCUGUGAUUGUGCUUUUAUAGUGGUUCUUCUAUAGUUUUUUUUUUUUUGUUUGUUUAACUGUGAAA